rnacentral:rRNA from 1 species
UGGGGAAUAUUGCGCAAUGGGGGCAACCCUGACGCAGCAACGCCGCGUGCGGGACGACGGCCUUCGGGUUGUAAACCGCUUUCAGCAGGGAAGAUAGUGACGGUACCUGCACAAGAAGCCCCGGCUAACUACGUGCCAGCAGCCGCGGUAAUACGUAGGGGGCGAGCGUUAUCCGGAUUCAUUGGGCGUAAAGCGCGCGCAGGCGGCUCUUCAAGCGGAACCUCUAACCCCGGGGCUCAACCUCGGGCCGGGUUCCGAACUGGAGGGCUUGAGUGCGGUAGAGGCAGGCGGAAUUCCCGGUGUAGCGGUGGAAUGCGCAGAUAUCGGGAAGAACACCGAUGGCGAAGGCAGCCUGCUGGGCCGGCACUGACGCUGAGGCGCGAAAGCUAGGGGAGCGAACAGG